GACGAGGAAGCCAUGGAGAGGCGUGCGGCUUUUAACCGCGUUAGAGCAAGGCGUUAGCUCUCGUUA
rnacentral:tRNA from 1 species